CCUACGGGUGGCAGCAGUGGGGAAUAUUGCACAAUGGAGGAAACCCUGAUGCAGCGACGCCGCGUGAGUGAAGAAGUAUUUCGGUAUGUAAAGCUCUAUCAGCAGGGAAGAAAAUGACGGUACCUGAUUAAGAAGCACCGGCUAACUACGUGCCAGCAGCCGCGGUAAUACGUAGGGGGCCAGAGUUAUCCGGAUUUACUGGGUGUAAAGGGAGCGUAGACGGCAGCACAAGUCUGGAGUGAAAUGCCGGGGCUUAACCCCGGAACUGCCUUGGAAACUGUGCAGCUAGAGGGCAGGAGAGGUAAGUGGAAUGCCUAGUGUAGCGGUGAAAUGCGUAGAUAUCA
rnacentral:rRNA from 1 species